rnacentral:lncRNA from 1 species
ACAGCCAUAGCAACUCGGAAUCUGAACCACAUCUGUGACCUAUAUCACAGCUCACGGCAAAACCGGAUCCAACCCACUGAGCAAGGCCAGGGACUGAACCUGCAUCCUCAUGGAUACUAGUAAGAGUUCGUUAUCGCGGAGCCACAACGGGACCUCCUGGUUAUCUAUUUUAAUCUAUGGCAGUGUGUCUAUGCUAGGAGGAUUGAAGUUUUAGAUAGGAUGGCCAGGGCAAGGCUUCUCUGGGGGAGGGGAAGGUUUGAAUAAAGCCAGAAGGAAGUGAAAGGAAGCCCUGUGGCUAGCUGAGGGGUGGGCACGCCAAGACUCCAAGUAGUAAAUGUUAUACACCUAAGUUCCGCUUGAAAAGAGAGAAACGGUCUGGUGUUUCCUGCUAUUGGAGGUCUGGGACAUGAGGACAAACCAGCACAAAUUUCAUGGAAAUAGGAAGGUGCACAGGAGAUGACGGUGUUCUGGAAACUCAGUGGAGAAAAGACUUAAGGAGGAUAAAGUGACCCAGACUGUCAAAUGCUGCCGCCAGUUGAGUGAGCAGAGAACAGAGGACGGAGGAGCAGCACGGGUGAGACCCUGACCGAAGUGGCUUCAGCGAGAAUAGUGGAGAGAGACUGGAGACGGUCAGCAUGCACCAUUAUUUUGAAGGAUUUUGCUUUAAGGGGGAGCAGAGAAAACAGUCCUGUAGCCGGAAGCACAGAGGAGCGUUGUCUCAGGAUGCGAAAGAGCUGCUGAGGGAGGGAGGCUCCCUGAACACUUACCAAACAGAAGCAAGAUGGCAGACCGACUGCCACCACUGAGUCAUUUUGGUUUUGUGGGGCAUCUAGAGGAAGCGGUCCAACCGUACGUAGGCUGCUAUUUUCUCCAAAGCCUCCAAACAGCCCAUGAAAGCCUUUGGAUUUGAAAAUCCAUCCAGGCUCUUGGGCUCAAAGAAGUGGUUCUGAUCUAGGACAUCAUCGAUGAGGAAAUCCACCAAGGGAAGAUGCAAUGUAGGAUGGAGAAGGUCGGAGGUGGGCUGGAGAGCAAACGAAAUGAGGACCUGAUGUGAUGUGGAGGAGUGGCGACUGGUUGCAGGCUGAUCUGUGUACACAGACGUGAAUGGUGCAGGCUGACGAGUUUCCCCACGGCUGACAGCGGUGGUCAGGAAUCCGGUUUUGUGACUUGCCCUUUGCUGAGAGCUCUGCCAAGUGAAUGAUGAGCUCCCUCUGUUGAGUGAGAGAUGACAGACAAUCUGGUUUGUCGGUUCUUUCGGUUGGGUCUUAUUAUUUACUUGUGUGACCACGUCCCUUAAAAUACUCUGUGCCCAAUGGAAAGGAGAAAGGCCCUUUGAGAUCUGGACUGGCGAGUUUUUGUGAUUCUGUGUCUCCUCUGACUAGUGACUAAUAUUGUAAAACUGAAGCUGCAAACUGCAGGAAGUGUGGAGGCCUAUAAGUGAGAAAAUCCUUAAAUCUCAUUAUUCCAGCAGUGGAAUAUUUUCCUACCUCCUUAAGGGUGUAGCAAAUUAGAUUUAAAAGACUCAAAUUAAAGGAGAUUUGUUCUGAUUGGCUUAUAGAGACUAACAAGCGCUUACAUAAAUCCAAUAUUGUCCAAACGUCCAGAAAACAAAGAAGCUGAACUUCUAAUACUUUAAAUAGGUUACACAAAACAAAAACCACUUUUGCAUAGAAACUACUAGCUGAAAGGCAAUUUUAUUAAAAAUCCAAGUUCAUGUGACAAAGCAAGUAAUCCUUGGACACGUCAAACGGAUCUGAAACUUUGCUUUGGAAAGAAUCAUGUCAGAAAAAG